AAAGACUGACGCUCAGGCACGAAAGCGUGGGGAUCAAACAGGAUUAGAUACCCUGGUAGUCCACGCUGUAAACGAUGAUCACUCGUUGUUAGCGAUAUACUGUUAGCGACUGAGCGAAAGCAUUAAGUGAUCCACCUGGGGAGUACGGCGGCAACGUUGAAACUCAAAGGAAUUGACGGGGGCCCGCACAAGCGGAGGAGCAUGUGGUUUAAUUCGAUGAUACGCGAGGAACCUUACCUGGGCUUAAAUGUAGGACGACGUUUCGUGAAAGCGGAAUUUCCUUCGGGACGUCUUACAAGGUGCUGCAUGGUUGUCGUCAGCUCGUGCCGUGAGGUGUCGGGUUAAGUCCCAUAACGAGCGCAACCCUUAUCAUUAGUUGCCAUCAGGUCAUGCUGGGAACUCUAAUGAAACUGCCUACGCAAGUAGUGAGGAAGGUGGGGAUGACGUCAAAUCAGCACGGCCCUUAUGUCCAGGGCGACACACGUGCUACAAUGGCCAGUACAGAGGGUUGCAAA
rnacentral:rRNA from 1 species